UAAAAAGGGGGAUUUUUAACACUUCGGACAAUAACUCAAAAAGGCUUUCACCAAUGUCCAUGAAACUUUGGUGAAUUGUUUAUAUCUAUUGAUGUAAGCUCCCUUUCAAUUUUUAUAAAUUUCAGAUUUUAAGUUUUGGAUUUAUUGGGCUUUAUUCAUAAAAAAAGGGGGAUUUUUAACACUUCGGACAAUAACUCAAAAAGGC
rnacentral:lncRNA from 1 species